UACGUAGGGUGCGAGCGUUAAUCGGAAUUACUGGGCGUAAAGCGUGCGCAGGCGGUUGUGCAAGACAGAUGUGAAAUCCCCGGGCUUAACCUGGGAAUGGCAUUUGUGACUGCACGGCUAGAGUGUGUCAGAGGGGGGUAGAAUUCCACGUGUAGCAGUGAAAUGCGUAGAGAUGUGGAGGAAUACCGAUGGCGAAGGCAGCCCCCUGGGAUAACACUGACGCUCAUGCACGAAAGCGUGGGGAGCAAACAGG
rnacentral:rRNA from 1 species